AUAGCUCUAGCUACUUGCAUCAUUGUAAAAAUGAUGCAGGAUCGACUAUGUCGAAUAAAAUUCUAGGUAGAAUUUUGAUAAUGACAUUGUCUGCCUAUGUGUCUUGACCAAAUUACGUGCCAGCAGUCGCGGUAAUACGUAGAAGACUAGUGUUAUUCAUGUUUAAUCGGUUUAAAGGGUACCUAGACGGUAAAUCAAGCCUAAAAUUAAGUGAAGGGACUAAUUUACUAGAGUUACUUAUGAGGGGGUAUUAAAGUACUGCUGGUGUAGAGAUGAAAUUCUGUCAUACCUCUUUUCAAUAGAAAAAUAACGGCACAGGUAUAGGCGAAAGCAUCCCCUUAUGUGAUAACUGACGUUGAGGGACGAAGGCUUUGUGUAGCGAACAGGAUUAGAUACCCCAGUAGUCAAAGCAGAAAAUGAUGAAUGUCAUAGAUUAGAUAAAUAAGUUUAUUCUAUAAAUGAAAGUGUAAGCAUUCCACCUCAAGAGUAAUUUGGCAACAUUGGAACUGAAAUCAUUAGACCGUUUCUGAAACCAGUAGUGAAGUAUGUUGUUUAAUUUGAUGAUCCGCAAAAAACCUUACCACAAUUUGAAUAUUUAUAUCUUUUAUUGUUUUUUUUUUAUUUUUCUUCUGAUUUUCAUUGUAUGAUUUUCUUCUUAUUCUAUUUGCAUGUGCAUGCACAU
rnacentral:rRNA from 1 species